rnacentral:misc_RNA from 1 species
UAAAUCCAGACCCCGAUCUCAGC